rnacentral:tRNA from 1 species
AAGGUUUUAAGUUAAACAAACUAAUAGCCUUCAAAGCUAUCAAUAUAAGAAACUCUUUUAAGCCUUA